UACUCUUUUACGUGGGAUAUGAUUUAUGAGCCACACUCAUAGAAAGCCUCUUUUUCUUAUCUCUUCUUCAGAUCUGAAAAGCUUAGUGAUCGUCUUGAUCUUCCUGAUGCUAUCCAUGGCUUCUUCUUCAUCUCUGUCUCGCAGUUGGUUGUAUCACGUCUUUCUGAGCUUCCGUGGUGUAGACGUGCGCAAAGGCUUUCUUAGUCACGUUCGGAAAGGGCUCGAAAGCAAAGGAAUCAUAGCUUUUGUUGAUGACGAGAUGGAGCGAGGCGAAUCUGUCGGUCCCCUGCUUGUAGGAGCGAUCAGACAAUCAAGGGUUGCUAUUGUCUUGCUCUCCAGUAACUACACUUCUUCAAGCUGGUGUCUGGAUGAGUUAGUGGAAAUCAUGAAGUGCAGAGAUGAGUAUAAACAACCAGUGCUGCCCAUUUUCUACAAAGUGGAUCCAUCUGAUGUUAGGAAACAGAAAGGAGAUUUUGGAAAAGUCUUUGAUGAAACCUGUUUGGGAAAAACAGAAGAGGUGAAAGAGACAUGGAGGAAAGCUUUGAAGGAUGUCGCGGGUAUAGCUGGUUAUGACAACUGUGACAGUGAAGCUGAUUUGAUCAACAAAGUUGCCUCAGAUGUCACGGCUGUGUUGGGUUUUACACCAUCAAAAGACUUUGAUAACUUUGUUGGCAUCGAACGUCGAAUCAUAGAUAUAAAAUCGAAGUUCAUCCUACAAUCGGAACAAGUUAAGAUGAUUGUGCUUGUGGGUCCUGCCGGGAUUGGGAAGACGACCACUGCCAGAGUUUUAUACAACCAACUCUCUCCUGGUUUUCCAUUCAGCACGUUUUUGGAGAAUAUCAGAGGAAAUUAUGAGAAGCCUUGUGGUAACGACUAUUCGCUGAAGUUGCGUUUUCAUCAAAAUUUGUUGUCUCAACUACUCAACCAAAAGGAUAUUGUGGUUGGUCACUUAGGAGUGGCUCAAAAUAUGCUGAGUGACAAAAAGGUGUUGGCUGUUCUUGAUGAAGUGGAUAACUUGUGGCAACUCGAGGAAAUUGCAAAGCAGCGUGAAUGGGUUGGUCCGGGAAGUAUUGUUAUCAUUACAACGGAAGAUGUAAAACUUCUCAAGCAACUCAGACUGGGGAUCGAUCAUAUCUACAAGAUGAAAUUUCCAACUAAAGAUGAGUCUCUUGAGAUCUUUUGCCAAUAUGCUUUCGAUCAGAACUCUCCAUAUGAUGGUUUUGAAGAUCUUGCUAGGGAAGUUACUUGGCUUGCUGGUAAUCUUCCUCUAGGCCUGAGAGUCAUGGGAUCGUAUCUACGAGGAAUGUCCAUGGACUACUGGAUAAAGGCACUACCAAGGCUCAGGUCUAGCCUUAACACAGAAAUUGAAUCUACUCUAAGAUUUAGCUAUGACGCCUUAAGUGAUGAUAAAGAUAAAGCUCUUUUCCUACAUAUUGCAUGUUUCUUUUCUCGUAUCGACUGCAAAGUUGAUAGCCUUAAGAGGUGUCUGGAAAAAAGUGGUUUGGACGUCGACCAUGGGCUUGAUGUCUUAGCCCAUAAAUCUCUUAUAUCUAUAGAUUACAGUGGAUACGUAAAGAUGCAUAGUUUACUGCAACAAUUGGGUAGAGAAAUUGUCAAGAAACAGUCUUUGAAAGAGCGACAGUUCUUGAUGGAUGCCAAGGAUAUUUCUGAUUUACUUGAAGAAAAUACUGUUAAUGGAGAAGUUCUGGGAAUAAUGUUAGAUGCUUCAAAUCAGAGCGAGGAAGUCCAUAUAAGUAAAAGCGCUUUCGAAGGGAUGAAUAGUCUCCAGUUUCUAACAGUCGACUAUGAUAAAUUAUGCAUACCCGAAGGCCUCAACUGUCUUCCCAACAAACUCAGACUAAUACAUUGGAACUACUGUCCAUUGAGGUUUUGGCCUUCCAAGUUCUCUUUCAAGUUUCUCGUCGAACUAAUCAUGCCAAAUAGCAAGUUUGAGAAGCUUUGGGAGGGAAUCCAACCUCUCCAAUGCCUCAAGCUGAUGGAUCUGAAAGAAUCUUGUUAUCUGAAAGAGAUUCCAGAUCUCUCAAAUGCAACGAGUCUUGAGGAAUUAGUUCUCUGUGGCUGCACAAGUUUGUUAGAGAUCACAAGCUCUAUUGGCAAUGCCACCAAGCUUAAAAAAUGCAAUCUUUUUGGGUGCUGGCUUUUGAAGGAGCUCCCCUCUUCUAUCAGUAGGUUAAUCAAUCUCAAGGAAUUAGACCUCUGUGGUUGCCAGACUUUAAAAGCAGUCAGUGUUUUCUCGAGUUUGGAAAAACUCAGUGGUUGUUCGAGUUUGAAAGAACUCAGGCUGACGGGUACUGAGAUAGAGGAAGUGCCAUUAUCAAUGAGCACUUGGUCUUGUCUUUAUAAAUUGGAUGUGUCAGACUGUAGAAACCUCAAGGAGUUCCCUAAUGUUCCAGACAGCAUUGUAGAGUUGGUGUUGUGCAAGACAAGGAUAGAAGAGGUUCCUUCAUGGAUCGGGAAUCUGUUUCGUCUCCGUAAACUAAUUAUGUAUGGAUGCAAGAAGCUGAAAACUAUAUCUCCAAACAUUUCCAAGUUGGAUAAUCUUGAGUUUCUUGGUCUACGUAAAGAUGGCGAAUAUGAGUAUGAUGAUGAAUUUGUCGGAGAAUCUGGUUUAAAAUUAUUUGAAGCAGUUAUUAAGUGGGGACCUGACUUGAAUCACAGUUGGAAAUUACGAUCAGACUUCAGAGUUCACCAUAUUUUACCGAUAUGUCUACCCAAGAAGGCUUUUACAUCUCCAGUGUCAUUAUGUUUACGUUGUGUUGGUUUGAAGACUAUUCCAGAUUGCAUUGGAUUUCUCUCUGGACUAAGUGAGCUUGACAUCACAAUGUGCAGAAAUCUCCGAGCACUUCCACAGCUUCCAGCUUCCCUUAUAUCUCUAGAUGCAGUAGAUUGUGUAUUUUUGAAGAGAAUAGACUCUUCUUUUCAAAAUCCAAAUAUUUGCCUAAACUUUUAUGGAUGUUACAAACUGAAUCAAAAAGCCAGAAAGAUCAUCCAAACAUCACAUUGCAAAUAUGCGCUCUUACCUGGUGAAGAAGUGCCUGCACAUUUCACUCACCGAGCUACUUCAGAUUCCCUAACGAUCAAUCUGUCUCCAAAAUCUCUUCCUUCACCCUGCAGAUUCAGAGGUUGCAUCUUGGUGCCAAGAGACUCUAGGUACUAUUCUGUACCGGAGAGUAGCUUGUCUUGUAGUGUCAGCGGUAAACAGAAUGACCUCACUGUGGAAUAUGGAUCAAACCAGCUCCAUCAUAUGCCGCCAGAUCUAUUUGGAUAUCCAAAGCAUCUGUAUAUAUUUGAAGAUUAUUUCUGUCUAAACCAGGAUUGCCCUGAAACUGAAGAAACCACUUCCAGCGAGCUUUCUUUUGUGUUCAGACUCCAUGACGAAGACGUGAAGAUCAAAGGCUGCGGUGUACAACUUUUGGAAGUGCCUAAUUGUGUUACUGAUGAAAAUGCAGAUAAUUAUAAUGAUGAUAAUAAUGAUGAUGAUGGUGAUGGUGAUGGUGAUGAUGGUGAAGAAGAAGAAUACGAAAGUGAUGAUGAUAAUGAUGGUGAUUGUGACGAAGAUGAAACUGAUGAUGAUGGUGAAGAACAAGAAUACGAAAGUGAUUCUUAUGGCAGAGGAUUUGACUAUUCCCACCCAAAUCAAAAAUGGAAAAAUCUCAUCCGGACAUCAGAUUGCGAAUCCGCGCUUGUAGAGGGUGUAGAAGUGCCUGCAGACUUCACUCACCAAGCUACUUCAGGUUCCCUAACGAUUAAUAUAACUCCAGGGUCUCUUCCUUCAUCCUUAAGAUUCAAAGCUUGCAUCUUGCUGUCAAGACACUAUGAUAACCGUGAGGAGGAUGAGAAUUUAUUGAUGCGUGUGUCUUGUAGCAGAAUGGCCUCACUGUCUCAUAUGGAUCAAACAAGCACGAUAUGCCUUAUCUAUAUGGAUAUGAAGAAGACCAUCUGUAUACAUUCGAAGAUUCUUUCUGUCUAGACCAGGAUUUCCCUGAAGCCACUUUCAGCAGUCUUAUGUUUCAGUUCGAAGUCUGUUAUGAGAACUGGGAAAUAAAAGCCUAAGCUCUUUGAUAAUGAUCACUACGAUGAUGAAGAGGAUGAAAAUUUCUUGAUGCGAUCUUGUUGAGGUGAACAGAAUGGCCUCACAAUCGAUAUGGAUAUGAAGACCGUCUGUAUACAUUUGAAGAUUCUUUCUGUCUAAACCAAUGCACAACUUUUGGAGGUCCCUCGUUAUAUUAUUGACGGGAACGAAACUGGAGAAGAAGAAGAAUCAGGACGUGAUGAGGAUGCAGAGACAAGGAGCAGGAAAGGAAUGAGGUUAAGCCUUGCGUAGGUUGUGGGAGUAAGAUCAUUGUAGCCAAGGAAAAGAAACAGCUUUUGAGAGCUCAUGGGAUCAAGCUCAUAUACAAAGCUUUUUGCUAAAAAUGGUUCUAUACUUGAUGACGUGGUAGCCUUCGAAGCAGGGGACAGCUAAGACACGAAGAAACUCUGCAGCAGCUUUAUUUUGUCACUUUCAGCCAUUGAUUCUAACUGGAACUUGGAAGCACUAUAGGGUGACUUCUCAACCGCCAUAGAAGCAG